rnacentral:rRNA from 1 species
CCCGACUGCUAUCAGAGUGGGACUAAGCCAUGCGAGUCAACAUAGCAAUAUGUGGCAUACGGCUCAGUAACACGUAGUCAACAUGCCCAGGGGACGUGGAUAACCUCGGGAAACUGAGGAUAAACCGCGAUAGGUCAUCACUUCUGGAAUGGGUAAUGACUUAAACCUAUAUGGCCCCUGGAUUGGACUGCGGCCGAUCAGGCUGUUGGUGAGGUAAUGGCCCACCAAACCUGUAACCGGUACGGGCUCUGAGAGGAGGAGCCCGGAGAUGGGCACUGAGACAAGGGCCCAGGCCCUAUGGGGCGCAGCAGGCGCGAAACCUCUGCAAUAGGCGAAAGCUUGACAGGGUUACUCUGAGUGAUUUCCGUUAAGGAGAUCUUUUGGCACCUCUAAAAAUGGUGCAGAAUAAGGGGUGGGCAAGUCUGGUGUCAGCCGCCGCGGUAAUACCAGCACCCCGAGUGGUCGGGACGUUUAUUGGGCCUAAAGCAUCCGUAGCCGGUUCUACAAGUCUUCCGUUAAAUCCACCUGCUUAACAGAUGGGCUGCGGAAGAUACUAUAGAGCUAGGAGGCGGGAGAGGCAAGCGGUACUCGAUGGGUAGGGGUAAAAUCCGUUGAUCCAUUGAAGACCACCAGUGGCGAAGGCGGCUUGCCAGAACGCGCUCGACGGUGAGGGAUGAAAGCUGGGGGAGCAAACCGGAUUAGAUACCCGGGUAGUCCCAGCUGUAAACGAUGCAGACUCGGUGAUGAGUUGGCUUAUUGCUAACU